UGAAGGGAAAUCUCAACCUCACCAUCACUGCAGCUGAUGACAGUAAGAGAAACACGUACACGUGUUGGUGUGGUGACAGAGGCGUUGCUGAUGUGCGUCUCAGUAUCGAGCCGUUGACAUCAUCAGAUCAGAUAAACACUGGUGAAGAUCUGAAGCUGGAUUUGCACGUGUCAGAGGGAGUGAAGGUGAUCUACAAGGGUAAAGAGAUCUGCAGAGUGGAUAAAAGCUCCCUACACUGUACAGAAGAAUACAGACCGAGAACAUCACUCUCUAACACAGUUCUUACACUGAGAGGAGUAAAGUCCACUGAUGGUGGUGUUUACAUCGUCCGAUACACGGAGAAUUAUGAAGAUCUUCAUAUGUACCCAGUAUCAGUGAGAGACGAGACACUCACUACACGGGCUGAUGGAGUUUCCUCAGGAGCCUUCUGUGAUGAUCAAAUCUCCAGCAUUUUAUACCUUCCACUGUCACCAUGUCACAGUCUGACACGUUCAGGCUCUGUUCUUUAUACAAUUAGUUCCUGUUAAUAAGAAUCCGUUUCCCCAUUAUAUCUUUGUCUGCUUUCCAUGUCGCAGUACAUUUAUUAGGUUUAUGUUAUUAUACCUGAGCAGGAAGCUGUGAAGUCUGAUUUUAUUUCACAUGAAUGGAUUUAAACCUUCUCUAUUUACCGUGACAGAAAGUGAGAGCGCCCCCUGGGGGUGGGAGGAUGUGGAGAAGGGGGUGAGGCUUCCUGACAGGGUCGGGAAGAGAAUCUAAGAAUCAGAGAAUAGAAAAUAUUAUUAUAAAUCAUUCCAGAUUCACAAAUAAAUUAUUUUCAAAUAUAAAUGAAAAUAUUUAAAAACCUAUUUAAACACGAUUAAAGAAAAAACAGUGUACACUGAAGUAGGGCUGCACAAUUAUGGCCAAAAUGAUAAUCCCAAUAAUUUUGAUCAAUAUUGAGAUCUCGAUUAUUUAUCACGAUUAUUCAUUGAUUUUAGGGACAACAUAUUUUUACUGCACUUUCACAUUUAAAUAAACAGACCGCUGCUUUCACCUCCAUGUGCUACAUUCCUGCUAAUGUACAAAUCUUUAACAGUGUUCCCAGGAGGAGAGAUGCAAGACAAUUUCUUUUGGAGCAAUUGUGCUCCUAAUUACAAAAAUUUAGGAGCACAGUUGAAGUUUAGGGAUUUUUUUUGGCUGUUUUUUUAUUUUUAUUUUUAAAUUUUUUUUUAGAGAUGCUAAUGUUAAUGUGCCAGGAUUUUUACGACCGAAACCGAUCCAGAUACCAAUCUUUUUUUGUUUAAGCUUAAAUCAGGAGGUCUGUCAUAAACAGUUAAAUGUAAGCUCUCUGCUCAUGGUCACUGUUAAUUGAAUUAAAAUAAUAGCAAUGAGAAAUACUGUUGGUUAAUUCUAAGGAAAUAGGUUACUAAGAUUAAUGUCAAAUUGAUAUUAAAUGCAAUCCAUAGUAAUUAAACAUCAUUUAAUUUCUCAUUUUAUUUACAUUUUAUGAAGUUAUUAUAAUAUCUAUUUUUAUAUUAAAUGAGUUAUUUAUAACUAAGCACAUUUUCUGUCUUUACAUUUUAGUAGUUUUAUGUUUUUGUUUAUCAGUUUUAGAUCGGUUCCCCCAGUACAGUGUUGCCAUGUCUGUUGAUAAUAUUUUGUUUUGUGGAUUAAAUCAAAACAUGGAAACUGGAGCUGACUUUUCUAGUGAUAUCUGGCAACCGUGAGUUUAAAUGAAGUGAAUUAGAAUUAGUGAAGGAGAGCAGCAGUGUACUGUAUGUUUACAGACUGAACAGUUCUACUCUUGAUUAUGAUUGGUGAGGAAUUAUUUAAUAAAGAAGAUUGAAUUAAACCCACCUUGUAGCGUUAGCAUUAUUAUCAUUUACUCCGCGCGAAGCCGCUAUGUCUACACGAGCAGGUGCAGGUUCAGGUUCAGGUCAUUUUGCAGGAUCAAUAAAAGAUGGCAGUUUGUGAGAUUGGGAUGUUGAGAGAAGCAGAUGAUGUACAGAGUUACUCUUGUCAUCAUAAUGACUUCUCCGCAGUAUUUCCACACUUUUUCGGUUGACUGAGGAGAUGAAAAGCAGUGUGAAAGUAACUGUUGCGUGGGGUAGAUGCAUUUUGGACUUGCUGUAGCGUUUAUUCCCAUUGUAUUAUACAAUUCCGAACAGGUGACUCGAACAAAUAUUUAUUCACAGUCACACAAAGUACUUUUCAAUUGCAAAUGCAAGUGAAAUGGUCACACUGUAGAGCCCUGAGUUUAUCUGCAAAGUUUUUUUUCCUGUUUGGCAUGAUGACGUUUAAUUUCCCCGACAUCCUCUGUAGUGCAAUUUAGCAUGACAUCAAAUGACAGGAAGUGAUUAAAGGGCUCAAGACGUCGAAAUGAUGACAGUACAGUUCUGUUAUUUAACCUUCAGUAUAGUCUUAUCAUGAUUUACUGAUAAUAACACCUGUAACAAACAUGGAGAACACUCACGUGUGUGUGUGUGUGUGUGUGUGUGUGUGUGUGUGGAGACAGAUGAUAAGAGUGCUGUACCAUGGUGGGUGAUCUUCCUGAUAGUGGUGGUGAUGCUGGUUGUUGAACUGGUUCUGAAAAUCCUGUACCAGUGGAAACUAAUUACGUCCUUACGAAGGGAGUCUAGGUGCAGUGGUGGAGAAAGGAGACAUCAGCGCUCGAAUGGCUCCAUACCAAUGAAUAACCUGUCAGAGGAGGAAACGAGGUUGAGACAGGAGGAGAAUCGAGCUCAAACAUAAGACAGGAGGAACAGAGUGAAGAGAUCUUAUAACUACAUACAGCAUGAUGGUGGAGCAAGGAGAAAGAUGAACUCAAAUGGCAGCACAGGAAUAAAUGACUUGAAUCUGGAUCUGGAGAUUUCUCCAUCCCUUUGUGCUUCACAACACUAAAAGAACAUGACCUGACUACAGAAUCUGCUCAAGUCCUCAUACAGGUUAUCAGUUCAAGACCUGACUACUGCAGCUCUUUUUAAAUCCCUUUAUCUAUUACAUAUCUUCAUCAGAUCAUUCCGUAGGCUGCUCCUGUCAUAUAUGACUCUCAUUUGGAGAUAAUUUCACUGAGCACCACAUCAUGGUCCAACUCAGGUCUUCAAAAUCAUGGAAUAUGGUAUGUCCUUCUCUAGGAUCUGCUUCACUCCUGGUUCCUCAGCAGUGUGAUAGUGGAUGUGGAAGCCUAAGAACAGAACCUGUUCAUAAGGCAUUUAGGUCACGUGUAUCUCUCUGUACUGACAGUUAUUAUUCUCAGGUGCUAUGUUUAAUGAUGGGAUAUACAGUCAGAAGAACUGCAGUGAUGCUUUGCUGUAAAGUGAUAGAUGGAGACCAACCAUGCCAACAACAUAAAUAAAUGCCCCCACAGCAUCACAGAGACACUAUCACUGUAGGGGUCAAGUUUUCAGGUCUGUAGCAUUUUCUUGAUGUAGCCACCAACGGACUCGCCCACUUGUGGAGAACAUGGUGAAGGACAAUUAAUCUGACCAGAACAUGGAUUUCUACGUCUCUUCAGGAGGCCAGUCUGUGGGGUUUUAUUUUGUUACAUUUGAUCAGACAUCUGAUCAGACCCUGCACCGACAUCCUUACUGACGGUGAAUAACAGCUGUUCUGUUUUGGAUCUAGAACCAUGUUUUAACUCUUAUGGUGAGACAUUUAUUUUUAAACAGGAAAAUGGUUGAAAAGGGAAUAAUCUUGGAGAACACACUCUAAAUGUUGCUCUGUAGAAGAGCAUGUGACAAAUGCCAUAACUGUAAACGUAAGCUCCACAGCCAAAAACACAACAAUCAGUGCAUUUACAUGGACAAAAAUAAUCCGCUAUUAACCCAAUUAAGAGAACACUGUGAUUAAGAAACUACCAUGUAAACAGCAAUUUUUAAUUACCUUAAUCUGAUUAAGGUCAUACUCGAAGUAAACACAAAUCGAAUUAAGACGUGGAGUAUUCCUGUUUUAGUCGCAUUAUGGACGUGUAUUACAAACAUGUAAACACCUUAAUCACAUUAUGAACGUCGUGUGAGAGUUUUCACCGCAUUUUGUGACAGGAUACGAUCACACACAGUGCUCAACCGUUUAACGGCGAACAAGAGAGUUCGGCUGUGUCCCAAACCGCAAUCUUGCCUACUAUAGGCCUGUAGUGGGGAAAAAUACAUGUAUCUCGGCUACUAUAUAGACGGUCAGUACACGGUUUGGGACGCAGCCCAUGGCUUCAAGCAGUUGUCUAUUUGCACGUACAGCAUGACAAAUAAUUAACUGCACUUAAAGUGUCCGUAAAUUUUUUUUAUAAAAACACCCAAAACUGUAUACAGUACCAUAACGAAGAUGGACUGUAUGUAAAUACGUGAAAUUCUGGACGGACGUCAGACGGCGUGGCGCGGUGACGUAAUGAUGCGGGCUGUUAAUCUAAUUAUUUUCUAUAACAUGUAAAACGGGAACAUGACAGGAGUAUUCUAAAAGUGACUCAUGUAAACACCUUAAUCACAUUAUUAUCUUAAUCAGAGUAAGGUCAAUAAUUAUAUUACUGCUGUCCAUGUAAACGCAGUCAAUGUUUACUUCUAAUGAGCUGCUACUGUACAGCAACACACACCCCUGGGGGCGGGACAAAUAUGUUCUAGAGAGCAUUUUAUUUUGUGAACACAAGACUAUUCGUACAGGAUGGGUUUUGCCAGAAGUGAAGAGCUAUCGAAUUGAAAGAAGGGAGAGAAGGGAAUAUAACAUUUACAAAGCUUUAAAAUAAAAUUUUGUUAUAUAGUUGUCCGUAAAACAGCCAUACAGGUAAUAAAAAAGCUCUGAGUCCGCACCCCCCCCCCCCCCCAUUUAGCACAAAUGCUCAAGCAGCACACUACUGUUUUUUUUUUGUUUGUUUGUUUGUUUGUUUUUUUUAACCACUGAUCUAAACACAGAUGUCACUUUAGUCACUGUUCUUAUUGGAACACAGCUGGCUGAUUGAAGCAGCUGCUUUUGGCCCCAAUUAUUAACGACACUAUUAUAAUUGGUAGGACUUCGUCUUAGGAUUUCUUCAUCUUACUUUUGCCAUAGAACAAAUCCUGUGGUCCAAAUCAUAAGUCAUAGAGACAUGAAAUUUGGUCAAUAGAUAGUACCCCCUCCUGCUAUCCCCUCCCACUACUUUGGGCAUAUUUAUAGAAAGGGGCGGAGCUAAGAUCAGAUAACCGUUUUUCAGGAACUGUAAGUCUGAUCGAGCUGAAAUAUGGUACUGUGCAUCUAUGUGCUAAUCUGUACAUGGAUUUUUGCUGAUGGCUUAAUUACUUAAAAAAACAUGGCUUCCAGUUAGCUUUUACACUGUUAACAAUGAACCGUGAGGUUAACAAUCAAAAAAUUGGUAGCAUUUCACUGAAUGUGUGGCCAAGUGGAGAUCAACUUUGUAAAAAAUAAUAAUAAUAAUUUUUUGUUCUUUUCUUAAAAAGCACUUUUUUAAAGAGGAUUUUUUUUCUUUUUCAGUCAAAACAUUUGCCUUUGUUUUAUAUAUAUAUAUAUAUUUUUUUUUACUAUUUUCUGAUGAAAUUUUCAGAGGCAUCCCUCAUAUGUGUCUAAUGUAGCUAAGUUAAUCACAAAGUGAUAAGUUUGAUUUCACAUGAACAAUCUCAAAACAUUUUCCAUGUUUCCUUCUGGAUGUUCGAGCUGAGAUGAGAGAUGGGGGAAGGUCUUUCAGGGGAUCACUUAAAAUAUCAGAUAGUUCAAAACACCAACUGUCAGUCAUUCCAGGUCGUAUAGGACAGUCACACAUCUGCAAAGACUAACUGUCAGUCAUUAUAGGUAGUAUAUUGCAGUCAUACACCUGCAAAGACUAACUCAGUCACACAGGUGGGAAAAAGUGUCCAGUUCAGUUCUAUAUACAAUCCCUUCUGAAAUGAUUGGAACAGCAAAAACCAUUCACUUUUUUCACUAUACACUGAAGACUUUUGGGUUUGAGAUCAAAAGAUGAAUGAGAUGAUGGGUCAGAAUUUCCUGAUAUUUACAUCUGGUAUUACAUCUGAUAUUUACAUCUGAUGUGAAAUAGCUAAAUAUAGCUAUCGCAGGUUUCACCAGCAACACCUUAUGACCUAGCUGCCUUAUUGUGUGUGUACUGUGACUGUAAAUAAAUGUUUGUCCCGUAUUUCCCCUGAGCACUGCAUGCUGAGGCUCUCAACACACACAACAGCUCGCAGUGCUACGGUGUAAACUUCUGUUUUGUCUGUUUGUUUACGUUUUUUGUAUUGAGUCAUGUUUUGUCUCCCUAAUGUGUCAGUUUGCCCCUUGAUUAGUUUGUGUAUUUAUACCCGUGUGUGUUUGUUUGGGGUGGAGUAAUGAUCAGUGUUCCUGUGCCUUACUUUAUGGGUUUUUGUUUGCAAAUUAGUCAGUGAUAAUGUUUAUUUCAGUUUUCUAAUUUAUGCACUUUUCCUAAAUUUAAAAAAUAUUGUUUUAUAUAUACAAGUUGUUCAAUAAAAAAACACUGCUGUGGAUAAAA